CGGCAGGCUUAACACAUGCAAGUUGAGGGGCAGCAUGAACAGUAGCAAUAUUGUUUGAUGGCGACCAGCGCACGGGUGCGUAACACGUAUGCAAUCUACCUCGUACAUGGGCAUAACUCCGAGAAAUCGGUGCUAAUUCCCAAUGACACUACAGAGUGGCAUCACUCCAUAGUUAAAGUUCCGGCGGUACGAGAUGAGCAUGCGUCCAAUUAGCUAGUUGGUGAGGUAAUGGCUCACCAAGGCUACGAUUGGUAGGGGUUCUGAGAGGAUGAUCCCCCACACUGGUACUGAGACACGGACCAGACUCCUACGGGAGGCAGCAGCGGGGAAUUUUGGACAAUGGGCGCAAGCCUGAUCCAGCCAUGCCGCGUGAGUGAAGAAGGCCUUCGGGUUGUAAAGCUCUUUCGGCGGGGAAGAAAUCGCAUCUCCUAAUACGGGGUGUGGAUGACGGUACCCGAAUAAGAAGCACCGGCUAACUACGUG
rnacentral:rRNA from 1 species